rnacentral:lncRNA from 1 species
CAGACCAUUGAGUUGCCCUGUUGACGUGAAGCAGACUGAUGCCUCACUGUAAUUGUAAGUGGUGAAGGUUUAAGAACAACUUUCAUCACAGUCAGGAGGAGAGUAAACUUCAGGAUGCAGAUCUACCCUGUAAUUGCCAUUUUUCUAAUAGGUAGACUUUAGAACUCUAAUGGCAGCUUUCCAAGUUACUUUAGCUGUUUACAUUUCAAGCUUAAACAUCUAACCUUCAGAAAUGGUUAUGUUUUAUCAUUGCAGUAGUAGCUUUUCAUGGUCUGUGCAGUUCUAUUCAAGUAUCUAGUUAAUAUGAUGGUACAGCUAAAGAAAACAGCUUCAGUAGUGGUCAGCCCAGAACUAUUGCUGCUCUGAUGACAGCAGUGCUUGUGUUUUACAGUAUGCCCUGGAGCGCUUAAAGGUCAUGUGUGAGGAUGCCCUCUGCAGUAACCUGUCCGUGGAGAACGCUGCAGAAAUUCUCAUCCUGGCCGACCUCCACAGUGCAGAUCAGUUGAAAACUCAGGCAGUGGAUUUCAUCAACUAGUGAGUUGGCAUCUUCAAAGUUCUUCUUUCAAAAUAGUUGGAUAGCUGAAGAAAUGAGAAAGGCUUUGAAUUAGUGGGUAAAGCAGGCAAGUAGCUUCAUUAACCUUUUGGCAGUAAGAAUAGAGUUUUCAUCUUUUCCUUCAGUUGACCGUAUGGAAUUGACUUCAUGGGUUGAAUCCUAUUGUCAUGCUUCGGAUGUCUUGGAGACCUCUGGGUGGAAGUCAAUGGUGGUGUCACAUCCCCACUUGGUGGCUGAGGCAUACCGCUCUCUGGCUUCAGCACAGUGCCCUUUUCUGGGACCCCCACGCAAACGCCUGAAGCAAUCCUAAGAUCCUGCUUGUUGUAAGACUCCGUUUAAUUUCCAGAAGCAGCAGCCACUGUUGCUGCCACUGACCACC